AGGGAAUCUUCCACAAUGGACGAAAGUCUGAUGGAGCAACGCCGCGUGAGCGAAGAAGGUUUUCGGAUCGUAAAGCUCUGUUGCCGGAGAAGAACGAGUGCCAGAGGAAAUGCUGGUGCUGUGACGGUAUCCGGCCAGAAAGCCACGGCUAACUACGUGCCAGCAGCCGCGGUAAUACGUAGGUGGCAAGCGUUGUCCGGAAUUAUUGGGCGUAAAGCGCGCGCAGGCGGCUUCUUAAGUCUGAUGUGAAAUCUUGCGGCUCAACCGCAAAAGGUCAUUGGAAACUGGGGAGCUUGAGUGCAGAAGAGGAGAGUAGAAUUCCACGUGUAGCGGUGAAAUGCGUAGAGAUGUGGAGGAAUACCAGUGGCGAAGGCGGCUCUCUGGUCUGUUACUGACGCUGAGGUGCGAAAGCAUGGGGAGCAAAC
rnacentral:rRNA from 1 species